GGAUGUGAUCAUACCAUCACUAACCCACCGGAUCCCAUUGGAACUCUGAAGUUAAGCGUGCUUGGGCGAGAGUAGAACUAGGAUGGGUAACCCCCUGGGAAGUCUUCGUGUUGCAUCCC
rfam:Capsicum annuum cultivar Zunla-1 chromosome 7, whole genome shotgun sequence